rnacentral:rRNA from 1 species
UGGGGAAUAUUGCACAAUGGGCGCAAGCCUGAUGCAGCAAUGCCGCGUGAGUGAAGACGGCCUUAGGGUUGUAAAACUCUUUCGCUAGGGAAGAUAAUGACGGUACCUAGUAAAGAAGUCCCGGCUAACUCCGUGCCAGCAGCCGCGGUAAUACGGAGGGGACUAGCGUUGUUCGGAAUUACUGGGCGUAAAGCGCACGUAGGCGGACCAGAAAGUUGGGGGUGAAAUCCCGGGGGCUCAACCCCGGAACUGCCUCCAAAACUAUUGGUCUAGAGUUCGAGAGAGGUGAGUGGAAUUCCAAGUGUAGAGGUGAAAUUCGUAGAUAUUUGGAGGAACACCAGUGGCGAAGGCGGCUCACUGGCUCGAUACUGACGCUGAGGUGCGAAAGUGUGGGGAGCAAACAGGAUUAGAUACCCUGGUAGUCCACACCGUAAAACGAUGAAUGCCAGUCGUCGGGUAGCAUGCUAUUCGGUGACACACCUAACGGAUUAAGC